rnacentral:rRNA from 1 species
AGAGUUUGAUCAUGGCUCAGAUUGAACGCUGGCGGCGUGCCUAACACAUGCAAGUCGAGCGGUAACAGGUGUAGCAAUACAUGCUGACGAGCGGCGAACGGGUGAGUAAUGCUUCGGAAUCUGCCCAAUGGUGGGGAAUAACCAGCCGAAAGGUUGGCUAAUACCGCAUAAGUCCUACGGGAGAAAGCAGGGGAUCGCAAGACCUUGCGCCGAUGGAUGAGCCGAAGUCGGAUUAGCUAGUUGGUAGGGUAACGGCCUACCAAGGCGACGAUCCGUAGCUGGUCUGAGAGGACGACCAGCCACACUGGGACUGAGACACGGCCCAGACUCCUACGGGAGGCAGCAGUGGGGAAUAUUGGACAAUGGGGGAAACCCUGAUCCAGCGACGCCGCGUGUGUGAAGAAGGCCUGCGGGUUGUAAAGCACUUUUAGUGGGGAUGAAAAGCUCAGGGCUAACACCUCUGGGUCUUGACCUAACCCACAGAAAAAGCACCGGCUAACUCUGUGCCAGCAGCCGCGGUAAUACAGAGGGUGCAAGCGUUAAUCGGAAUUACUGGGCGUAAAGCGUGCGUAGACGGUUAUGUAAGUCGGGUGUGAAAGCCCCGGGCUCAACCUGGGAAUGCCAUUCGAGACUGCAUAGCUAGGGUGCGGAAGAGGGAAGCGGAAUUUCCGGUGUAGCGGUGAAAUGCGUAGAUAUCGGAAGGAACACCAGUGGCGAAAGCGGCUUCCUGGUCCAGCACCGACGUUCAGGCACGAAAGCGUGGGGAGCAAACAGGAUUAGAUACCCUAGUAGUCC